UAGGAAGUAAAACAGUUUCUGGGGCUGG
rnacentral:piRNA from 1 species